rnacentral:tRNA from 1 species
CAGAGAAUAGUUCAGUUUAGAAUCCUAGCUUUGGGAGUUAGGGGUGGGAGUUAGAAUCUCCUUUCUUUGA